UACCUCUAUUCGCGCAUGCGCAAUAGCGCAAUCUGGACGCCACUGCUCUGCACACAGCUGAGCAAAGCUGUUUUCACUGGGUAUGAGGUGUACUUAAGAGGGGAGUGUUUCCCUCUUUACCAGCAAUAAACAUCAGCAGGAAGUAAAAACCAAUACUGCAAAUAUUAGUUUCAAUUUAAACGUAUACAGUUUCUGAAGUCCGGACAUCCAGGCAGCGAGAAGUCUUCAUCCAGGUGACGAGGUCUUCAUCCAUCCAGAC